GUGGGUAUACGGAGCUUCAUCUCCCAACCCAUGUGACAUACCUACUGUUGCUUCGGCGGGAUUGCCCCGGGCGCCUCGUGUGCCCCGGAUCAGGCGCCCGCCUAGGAAACUUAACUCUUGUUUUAUUUUGGAAUCUUCUGAGUAGUUUUUACAAAUAAAUAAAAACUUUCAACAACGGAUCUCUUGGUUCUGGCAUCGAUGAAGAACGCAGCGAAAUGCGAUAAGUAAUGUGAAUUGCAGAAUUCAGUGAAUCAUCGAAUCUUUGAACGCACAUUGCGCCCGCCAGUAUUCUGGCGGGCAUGCCUGUCUGAGCGUCAUUUCAACCCUCAUGCCCCUAGGGCGUGGUGUUGGGGAUCGGCCAAAGCCCGCGAGGGACGGCCGGCCCCUAAAUCUAGUGGCGGACCCGUCGUGGCCUCCUCUGCGAAGUAGUGAUAUUCCGCAUCGGAGAGCGACGAGCCCCUGCCGUUAAACCCCCAACUUUCCAAGGUUGACCUCAGAUCAGGUAGGAAUACCCGCUGAACUUAAGCAUAUCAAAAGGCGGAGGAAAA
rnacentral:rRNA from 1 species